rnacentral:lncRNA from 1 species
AGGGAAGACAGCAAAGACAGUGAGGGAGAGAGCAGACAUCUGUCUCUGGGGUGCUUAUCUGUGUGGAAGAGACCGGUCCUUCCUGAUUGGCUUCAUGUCCCUCAAGAUCCCAAGAAGGCUGUGGCCAAUGUCCCUAUUUCAAAGCCAGAGAAUAGGGGCAGAGACUCAGCAGCCUGCUCCUGGGUGCGAAGAGACAAGGUCAGGUGCAGCCUAUGCUCACAGUCUUGGAAGCUUGGUGGUGGUGGAGGUGUUCUCCUGGCUGCUCAAGUAUUUACCCAUCUGUGUGUGACUCAUAUCCAGGCACCCAGGCGGCUUCCCUUCAGUCGAUUGCUGCCUCCGGAAGAUGAGCCUCCCCU